GACAGAGGGUGCAAACGUUGUUCGGAAUUACUGGGCGUAAAGCGCGUGUAGGCUGUUCGGAAAGUCGGAUGUGAAAGCCCCGGGCUCAACCUGGGAACUGCAUUGGAAACUAACGGGCUCGAGUGUGGCAGAGGGGGGUGGAAUUCCACGUGUAGCAGUGAAAUGCGUAGAGAUGUGGAGGAACACCGAUGGCGAAGGCAGCCCCCUGGGCUAACACUGACGCUCAGGCACGAAAGCGUGGGGAGCAAACAGG
rnacentral:rRNA from 1 species